CAGAGAACUUGCCCCUUGGGGUAGAUCUCCACCCUUUGUUUACAAUACCAUUGUUGCUUUGGCAGGCCCGUCUUUGACCACCGGCUUCAGCUGGUCAGUGCCUGCCAGAGGAUCCUAAAACUCUUGAUUUUGUAUUGUCUGAGUCUUAAGAUAAUAGUUA
rnacentral:misc_RNA from 1 species